GACGAACGCUGGCGGCGUGCCUAAUACAUGCAAGUAGAACGCUGAAGCUUGGUGCUUGCACCGAGCGGAUGAGUUGCGAUCGGGUGAGUAACGCGUAGGUAACCUGCCUGGUAGCGGGGGAUAACUAUUGGAAACGAUAGCUAAUACCGCAUAACAGUAGAUAUCGCAUGAUAGCUACUUGAAAGGUGCAAAUGCACCACUACCAGAUGGACCUGCGUUGUAUUAGCUAGUUGGUGAGGUAACGGCUCACCAAGGCAACGAUACAUAGCCGACCUGAGAGGGUGAUCGGCCACACUGGGACUGAGACACGGCCCAGACUCCUACGGGAGGCAGCAGUAGGGAAUCUUCGGCAAUGGACGGAAGUCUGACCGAGCAACGCCGCGUGAGUGAAGAAGGUUUUCGGAUCGUAAAGCUCUGUUGUAAGAGAAGAACGAGUGUGAGAGUGGAAAGUUCACACUGUGACGGUAUCUGACCAGAAAGGGACGGCUAACUACGUG
rnacentral:rRNA from 1 species